rnacentral:misc_RNA from 1 species
UUGAUUGCGAAUGGUUGUCUGCAGUGCUGGCCAGAGGUCACUCUGGCAAGUGCACGUAGACAGCUUUCAUCCAAUACCCUGUGAACCUUUGGCCUCUUGCUAGCUUCGGCGAGCGGAGGAUUUUACACAUACUCGAAUGUAAUGAAAUAAUUGUUGUGCACAAGCACUACUAUA